UACGUAGGUGGCAAGCGUUAUCCGGAUUUACUGGGUGUAAAGGGCGUGUAGGCGGGAAAGCAAGUCAGAUGUGAAAACCAUGGGCUCAACCUGUGGCCUGCAUUUGAAACUGUUUUUCUUGAGUACUGGAGAGGCAGACGGAAUUCCUAGUGUAGCGGUGAAGUGCGUAGAUAUUAGGAGGAACACCAGUGGCGAAGGCGGUCUGCUGGACAGCAACUGACGCUGAGGCGCGAAAGCGUGGGGAGCAAACAGG
rnacentral:rRNA from 1 species